rnacentral:misc_RNA from 1 species
GGCAGGUUUUAGGGCGCGGGGGGCAGUGAUGGAGGGGGGUGUGGAAAGGGGAGGGGAGGAGACGGCGGCGGCGAGCAUUGCGGUGGUGGUGUGAGUAGAGCUGGGGUGGCAGCGGCGGUGGCGUCAACAGAGAAUCCCGGCAGAGGCGGUGAAGUUAUCCCGGCGGCGGCGGCGGCGGCCCGCGGUUUUGGAACGAGGGAGCGGAUUGGGUCACCG